UACGUAGGCAGCAAGCGUUGUUCGGAGUUACUGGGCGUAAAGCGCGCGCAGGCGGUUAUUUAAGUCUGGUGUUUAAACCUUGGGCUCAACCUGAGGUCGCACUGGAAACUGGGUGACUUGAGUACAGAAGAGGAAAGUGGAAUUCCACGUGUAGCGGUGAAAUGCGUAGAUAUGUGGAGGAACACCAGUGGCGAAGGCGACUUUCUGGGCUGUAACUGACACUGAGGCGCGACAGCGUGGGGAGCAAACAGG
rnacentral:rRNA from 1 species